GAGCAAGCCAUGGAGAGCAAGCCAGUAAGCAGCGUCCCUCCAUGGCCUCUGCAUCAGCUCCUGCCUCCAUGACCCC
ensembl:miRNA